GAGGGUAUAGCUCAGUGGUAGAGUAUAUGCUUAGCAUCCACGAGGUCCUGGGUUCAAUCCCCAAUAUCUCCA
rnacentral:tRNA from 1 species